UGUGUGAGGACCAUCUGUCUGUGACAUCUGUUACUCCACUGAUCAUCGAGAUUGAUUUGGAUGAUUCGAUUGGCUUAGUAGGUUUCUACUUUCUCUCUUACCACCAAAAUGCAUUCCUUGCAAAGCUGUAUGGUUAGUUGAAGUGGAUGACUUUCUAGACUAGAGGAAGACUGGUCUUCAAUUAAGGGUAUAGGAGCAGUUGUGAUUCCUUGGAAAGAAUAUCCAAAGAAGUUAUCAUGAAAUACUGUUCAAUAUUAAAUCUUAUAUAUUCUCUAGAUGUUCAUACUGCAAAAGCAUGGUACCUAU
ensembl:misc_RNA Gm25295 predicted gene, 25295